UCCCUUUCACUCUAGCUUUGCAAAUG
rnacentral:piRNA from 1 species